rnacentral:lncRNA from 1 species
AUAAACCAAUAAAAGGCUGGGCGCAGUGGCUCACGCCUGUAAUCCCAGCACUUUGGGAGGCCGAGGCGGGUUGAUCAUGAGGUCAGGAGAUCGAGGCCAUCCUGGCUAACACGGUGAAACCCCGUCUCUACUAAAAAUAGAAAAAAUUAGCCAGGCGUGCUGGCAGGCGCCUGUAGUCCCAGCUACUUGGGAGGCUGAGGCAGCAGAAUGGCGUGAACCCAGGAGGCAGAGCUUGCAGUGAGCCAAGAUCGUGCCACUGCUCUCCAGCCUGGGUGACAAAG